rnacentral:rRNA from 1 species
UUCGGGAACUGUAAGACAGGUGCUGCAUGGCUGUCGUCAGCUCGUGUUGUGAAAUGUUGGGUUAAGUCCCGCAACGAGCGCAACCCUUAUCCUUAGUUGCCAGCGAUUCGGUCGGGAACUCUAGGGAGACUGCCGGUGAUAAACCGGAGGGAGGUGGGGACGACGUCAAGUCAUCAUGGCCCUUACGAGUAGGGCUACACACGUGCUACAAUGGUAUGUACAGAGGGAGGCACGCUGGCGACAGUGAGCGGAUCUCUUAAAGCAUAUCGUAGUCCGGAUUGGAGUCUGCAACUCGACUCCAUGAAGUCGGAAUCGCUAGUAAUCGCAAAUCAGAAUGUUGCGGUGAAUACGUUCCCGGGCCUU